AAUUUUAUCUUGAAUCGAGGAUCUAACAUGGCUGCAACUGCUAAAGCAAAACUGCAUUUCUCCCAAUAUUCAUCAAACUUGCCUUUCAUCUUUAAUGCCAUAGAACCAAUAAAAUCAUCAGAAUUCUUGCACCAUUCAAUUAACUGCAAGUGAAUAUCACAGAUCUCAGAAAAAUAUAUAUUUGCAGUUGGAUACUUAUUCUUCACAAAAACCUUAGCGACUUCAACAAAGUGCUUCAAAAAGCUUGUAACGGUCCUCACCCUCUCCCACUCUAAAUCAGUUGGACAAGUUGAAUAGGCAAUGCCUUGUUCCUGAAAAUGUGAAAAUGCCCACCUGUACUCUAAGGCAGCUUCAAGCAUAAAAUAUGUAGAGUCCCAACGCGAUGGAUUGUCAAGACAUAAGCACUUCUGACUCUCAACUCCACCUUGUGAAGCAAUCUCAUUGAAUUUCAUCAGAUUUACUUGUGAACUUCUGACAUAACGAAUGCUUUCACGAAUUUUGUGUGUUACCUCAGAAAGCACCUCCAGUGCAUCGUGAACCAUCAGCUUGAGAAGACUUGCAGCACAGCGUAUAUCAAAUAGCACACCAU
rnacentral:misc_RNA from 1 species